ACUGCUGAAUGGCAUCUUUCAGGCUCAAGAGCUUCCGCAGUCUCUCCACUUCCAUACUGAUUAGAAGUGCUUGAGAUACAUCAUAACAGUGUCAGUGCAGUGUUUAUGGGGGAAAUUGUCGCUGUCUCUCGCUUGUGGAAGGUGACAUAAUGGGAUUUCUUCCCUUUGUCCUGGUGACAGGAUGAUGAGCACUGUCUGGGCUCCAGUUCGGCGGGCUUUGCCAUUCAGGCAUCCGGCGCAGCUGACAAGCCCGAGGAUCGAUGGAGAAGAGUUUGAUUACUCAGUCAAAACCUAAGUAUCCUGUUGGGAGAAGAACACUCAUUUUAGUGGCACUGUUCUAUUCUUUGGAUGAAUUGAAUAGUUACUAAUCCAGCCACAGAAGAAAGACACAGGAGAGGCUGAAACAUCACCUCUUGAGGGUCUCCUUUCUGGUGAUUUAUUCAGAUAUUGGCACAUGUGACUCAAUAAUGGCCAAUACUAUGUGAAGGGACAUCUUCUGGGGAGUCUUCCUCCUUUUCUUCCGGAUUCUUUGUGUCUGAAUGUGAUGCCUGGAGAUGCAACAGCAGUCUCACUACCAGCACGAGGAUGAAGCUGAUACCCAGAAUCAGUAUUUCAAGCAUCCAAAAUGUGUAGGAGAAUAUGGACCCAAGAACGGAGCAGAGAGACAAAUAGAGGAACGGAAAGUUUUGCCUACAACCAUGAUGUUCUCAAUGUUAGCUGACUGUGUUCUAAAAUCCACUCCAAUUCCCAUUUUGGGAGUUGCUAUGUGAUGAAGGUCUGCCCCUGUGGUGUUGGGACAACUUGCUCAUGGAGUUGCAGUUCUUGCCUAACAGGAACCCACCAUGGUAAGAAAAAGACUCAAGCUGGUUUAUUUGUUUUUAAGGUUGCAAGGUAAUCAAGUCCAUAACCACACUUGCUCUCACAUUUACCAAAAUAGGCCAAUCUCAGAACUAAAUGAUAAAAAUGAAAAUUAAUCAGGGACUCCCAUGGGCCUCACAUAUAUGGCAGUUUUGAAUCUGUUCUUUUUUUCACUAUCAUAAUUGUUUUUUUAAACUCAUUUUCUCUGCUUGAAUACACAACUGUAAAAAAAAGUGGGGGUAGUGGUGGUGAUAGAAAUGAAUAAACCCAUGGAAACAGUGAGACAUCUACAGAGACAAAAUUAGGAAGGAAGGAAACAAAAGCAAUUUCAGUAUCUCUGUGCAAGGCCUGCAUACCUUUCCUUGCCAAUACCCGUGGAUUGGGCUUGUCUCAGGAGGUAGCAGGUGUUUCCUUGACUCACACAGAAAACAAGCCCUUGGGCUUCUUGUGCUGUUAGGGCAAGUUACGUUCAGCACAUGAACAC
ensembl:lncRNA C5orf64 chromosome 5 putative open reading frame 64